AUUGAACGCUGGCGGCAGGCCUAACACAUGCAAGUCGAGCGAGCGGCGGACGGGUGAGUAAUGUCUGGGAAACUGCCUGAUGGAGGGGGAUAACUACUGGAAACGGGAGCUAAUCCCGCAUCCCAUCAGAUGUGCCCAGGUGGGAGUAGCUAGUAGGUGGGGUAACGGCUCACCUAGGCGACAAUCCCUAGCUGGUCUGAGAGGAUGACCAGCAACACUGGAACUGAGCCACGGUCAAGACUCCUACGGGAGGCAGCAGUGGGGAAGAUUGCACAAUGGGCGCAAGCCUGAUGCAGCAAUGCCGCGUGUGUGAAGAAGGCCUUCGGGUUGUAAAGCACUUGCAGCGGGGAGGCGUUACCCGCAGAAGAAACACCGGCUAACUCCGUGCCAGCAGCCGCGGUAAUUC
rnacentral:rRNA from 1 species